rnacentral:lncRNA from 1 species
AUGAUCAUUUUUUUUCCUAUAUUUUUUUUCCCCUGGGAAAGGCAAUGGGCUUGGCCGGCAGGAGGUCCAGGAGCAAGCAGGGGAGAGGGGACAGUGGCAGAGGGCAGCAGGAGGCAGAGCCUCCCCUCCGGCCGGGGCUCGCAUUGGUGCGGCUUCUCCACACUGGCCCCCGCCCCGCUCCUCCCACUGCCAGCAAUGCAGGGGACGGAGGAGAUCAAUCAUGGGUGGGGAGAGUUCAUUGCGAUGGGUUCAUGUCUUUGUUUUUCCCUUAAGCCCCAACAUAUGUUAGAUAUAGAAAUUUUAAGGCUGGAAGUGUGCAGAGAGUGCGAAGCGGACGUACGGCAGAUCCAACGAGAAAACGCAAAAAUAAUAGGCAUUGCACUCAUUCCCCCCCCUUUCUACUGCCUCUGUGCUGUCAAGGCACAGGACACACAACACCCAGGAAAUUUACCUUUGAAUCACGUUGUGGAUUCCCACCAUGACCCAUGGAAGAGUAUUUUCCCUGCUACAGCUAUCAUCCUAAAUAACACCAGCCCAUCAUGCUACUACCAGCGGCAGAGGCUUUACAGUGCAAUGGAGAACUAUUCUGAAGCCACCAGCAUCUCUCCUCAGCUGCUUUGUGCUGGUACCACGUCUCCCACUGCCCGCUCCCGGUGCGAUCACAUCCUCUGGCUCGAUCUCGACGUUUGA